rnacentral:rRNA from 1 species
UUCCGGUUGAUCCUGCCGGAGGCCAUUGCUAUCGGAGUCCGAUUUAGCCAUGCUAGUCGCACGAGUUCAGACUCGUGGCGGAAAGCUCAGUGACACGUGGCCAAACUACCCUAUGGACGGAACUAACCUCGGGAAACUGAGGCUAAUGUCCGAUACGGCUCUCACGCUGGAACGCGGAGAGCCGGAAACGCCCCGGCGCCAUAGGAUGUGGCUGCGGCCGAUUAGGUAGACGGUGGGGUAACGGCCCACCGUGCCGAUAAUCGGUAUGGGUCAUGAGAGUGAGAACCCAGAGACGGUAUCUGAGACAAGAUACCGGGCCCUACGGGGCGCAGCAGGCGCGAAACCUUUACACUGCACGACAGUGCGAUAAGGGGACUCCGAGUGCGAGGGCAUACAGUCCUCGCUUUUCUGUACCGUAGGGUGGUACAGGAACAAGUGCUGGGCAAGACCGGUGCCAGCCGCCGCG